UACGGAGGGUGCGAGCGUUGUCCGGAAUUACUGGGCGUAAAGCGCACGUAGGCGGCUUUGUAAGUUAGAGGUGAAAGCCCGGAGCUCAACUCCGGAAUUGCCUUUAAGACUGCAUCGCUUGAAUCAUGGAGAGGUGAGUGGAAUUCCGAGUGUAGAGGUGAAAUUCGUAGAUAUUCGGAGGAACACCAGUGGCGAAGGCGACUCACUGGACAUGUAUUGACGCUGAGGUACGAAAGCGUGGGGAGCAAACAGG
rnacentral:rRNA from 1 species